rnacentral:misc_RNA from 1 species
AUGAAUUGAUUGGUUGAUAAUUUUAGAAAAAUGGUCUGAUGUGACAUUGCUAUGGAAACGUAAUCGAAAGAGCAAACAGUUCAAACCAGAAGUGGCUCGCAUUCAAGUGAAUGUCAAUCAAAACAAUACUUUUAUCCGCCGUAUUCUAUGAAUUGACGUUCAGAGAAAAGCUUCCUAGAUGAUUAAUCUCCAGCAGUUAACUUUGCGUAAGGUUUUUAUCUGCCUCUCAUCUGACCGAAGUAGAUCUCAGCUGUCAGUCUGUUUGUCGAGUUACCAAAUAAUUAUUCGCAGUUGGCGAGCAGAUUCCCAUUUCUGAAAAAACGACAGAUCAAGACGAAACUUCUUCAAUCCUGGAAAAAGUUUCAGUCCAGUACCGAAACCACGACGAGCAAAGGAGAGAUUCAGAAACCAAAAUUUUUGAAUGAGAUUGUGGCCAGUGAAGCCGAGAGUGGCCCGCUAAAGAGAAGAGAGGAAGAUGUCUUGCAGAAGAAAUCUGAGCGUUCACCCAUUAUUACAUACUCAGUCAGACAGCGCAAUCAAGAUGACUGUGCUAAGAGGAAAAACAAUGACACAGCAAGUGAAGUGGAUUGUACAUCCUCACUGAUCGGCAUGAGUAGAGCUUCUGACGAUUCAAAAAUGGUAGACAACAAACUACUCUCAAAAAGAAGAAAACAAAACGAGUUGAUCGAUCUUUUUGAGGAGAUAGACGCAGAAACGUUGUUGAUCGAGCCAGAGCAUAUUAGGAGUUCCGAUAUCGAUUUAGUGUCGAGUACUGCUGGCAGUUUUGAUCACAACGAGUGGCUGAAGAAGCUCAGAGAAGUAACAUUCGUAGAGGUACUCGGUGGGAGAGGAAAAGUUUUUGCCUUGUCACGCAACGGAUUGAAAGGACCGUUGCGUGACUGCCUAAAAUGUCGACGGGGAAAACACUGCACUUAUCGUUUCGUUUUUCUCUCUUUUUUUUUUUAGAGGCUAUGUUUUCUCCUAAAAAUAAGCUCAGAGGCUUAGGAAUAAUCUUUUUCCACUAGACAUUGACUAUUCCCUCCGAGGAUGAGAAUACAAACCGAGAUCAUGAAAUAUUAAGGAUGUUUUAAAUUAUCUGAAAAAAAUUAAAGUCUUCAAAUAGCCUGUUUCAGGCGCUUCGUUGGUUAACGAAGCGCGAUAGCAACGGAGGAGUGAAAAAAAAACCAGGGGAGGCUGGGUCGGUUCUUCAUUCUACCCGACCCAGACUACCCCCGCCUUUUCACUUCUCGCUUCGUUUACCAAACUAAACACCCGUGUCAGGUGGUCCCAAAAACUCAGUAUUACUGUUGUACUAAAAAGACACUGCCUUGCUAAAUAUUUCCGGGGAGGAUUUUUUCUUGGGUUUAUGCUGUUGAAUUUUCACGUUUCUAAACAGUGCUACUAUUAUGUCCACUUUGCAGCUUGGUGAAUAUUCUGCAUACGUCAUUCACUAAAAUGCAAAGGGUAGGGUUAUGUUUUUUCAGAGAAGGCUAUUUCAAGGCAUUGGUUUUAUAACUCUGGUUAUGUAAUUCAAGUUACCUCAUCAAUUUUAGAGCAACAACACGGUGUCUGGAAUGUUCAAGUGGCGAGCCGACGGAAAAAAGAAUACACAGAGAAAUGUCGACGAAAAUAAACAUAAAUCAAGGUUUUUAGGGAGUAACGACUAUGAAGGCGGCAGUAACUUCUUCAGCAUGUUUGAACACGAGGACGACAUCUUUCUUUAAGAAAAAAGUUCAU